GCAUAUCAAUAAGCGGAGGAAAAGAAACCAACAGGGAUUGCCCCAGUAACGGCGAGUGAAGCGGCAAGAGCUCAAAUUUGAAAGCUGGCUCCUUCGGGGUCCGCAUUGUAAUUUGCAGAGGAUGCUUCGGGAGCGGUCCCCAUCUAAGUGCCCUGGAACGGGACGUCAUAGAGGGUGAGAAUCCCGUAUGGGAUGGGGUGUCCGCGCCCGUGUGAAGCUCCUUCGACGAGUCGAGUUGUUUGGGAAUGCAGCUCUAAAUGGGUGGUAAAUUUCAUCUAAAGCUAAAUAUUGGCCGGAGACCGAUAGCGCACAAGUAGAGUGAUCGAAAGAUGAAAAGCACUUUGAAAAGAGAGUUAAAAAGCACGUGAAAUUGUUGAAAGGGAAGCGCUUGCGACCAGACUCGCUCGCGGGGUUCAGCCGGCAUUCGUGCCGGUGUACUUCCCCGCGAGCGGGCCAGCGUCGGUUUGGGCGGUCGGUCAAAGGCCUCUGGAAGGUAACGCCCCCUCGGGGGCGUCUUAUAGCCAGGGGUGCAAUGCGGCCUGCCCGGACCGAGGAACGCGCUUCGGCUCGGACGCUGGCAUAAUGGUCGUAAGCGACCCGUCUUGAAACACGGACCAAGGAGUCUAACAUCUACGCGAGUGUUCGGGUGUCAAACCCGUGCGCGAAGUGAAAGCGAACGGAGGUGGGAACCCGCAAGGGUGCACCAUCGACCGAUCCUGAAGUCUUCGGAUGGAUUUGAGUAAGAGCGUAGCUGUUGGGACCCGAAAGAUGGUGAACUAUGCCUGAAUAGGGCGAAGCCAGAGGAAACUCUGGUGGAGGCUCGUAGCGGUUCUGACGUGCAAAUCGAUCGUCGAAUUUGGGGUAUAGGGGGCGAAAGACUAAUCGAACCAUCUGGUAGCUGGUUUCCUGCCGAAG
rnacentral:rRNA from 1 species